UACAGAGGGGGCAAGCGUUGUUCGGAAUUACUGGGCGUAAAGGGCGCGUAGGCGGCCUGUUAAGUCGGACGUGAAAUCCCCGGGCUCAACCCGGGAACUGCGUCCGAUACUGGCAGGCUUGAAUCCGGGAGAGGGAUGUGGAAUUCCAGGUGUAGCGGUGAAAUGCGUAGAUAUCUGGAGGAACACCGGUGGCGAAGGCAGGUCUCUGGGCAUUAACUGACGCUGAGGAGCGAAAAGCAUGGGGGAGCGAACAGG
rnacentral:rRNA from 1 species